rfam:Stomoxys calcitrans breed 8C7A2A5H3J4 unplaced genomic scaffold Scaffold387, whole genome shotgun sequence.
ACUUGAGGCCUUUUUACUUGUUUUUUCCUUUUUUAUACCCUCCACUACAGAAUGGGGGAUACUAAUUUCGUCAUUCUGUAGUGGAGGGUAUAAAAAAGGAAAAAACAAGUAAAAAGGCCUCAAGUCCAUAGAUCGCCCCUUCUGGACUUGAGGCCUUUUUACU